UACGUAGGGUGCAAGCGUUAAUCGGAAUUACUGGGCGUAAAGCGUGCGCAGGCGGUUAUGUAAGACAGGUGUGAAAUCCCCGGGCUUAACCUGGGAACUGCAUUUGUGACUGCAUAGCUAGAGUACGGUAGAGGGGGAUGGAAUUCCGCGUGUAGCAGUGAAAUGCGUAGAUAUGCGGAGGAACACCGAUGGCGAAAGCAAUCCCCUGGACCUGUACUGACGCUCAUGCACGAAAGCGUGGGGAGCAAACAGG
rnacentral:rRNA from 1 species